rnacentral:rRNA from 1 species
AGAGGAGCUUGCUUUUCUCAGCUUAGUGGCGAACGGGUGAGUAACGCGUGAGGAACCUGCCUUUCAGAGGGGGACAACAGUUGGAAACGACUGCUAAUACCGCAUGACACAUUGGGGUCGCAUGGCCCUGAUGUCAAAGAUUUAUCGCUUCAAGAUGGCCUCGCGUCUGAUUAGCUAGUUGGCGGGGUAACGGCCCACCAAGGCGACGAUCAGUAGCCGGACUGAGAGGUUGAACGGCCACAUUGGGACUGAGAUACGGCCCAGACUCC